rnacentral:rRNA from 1 species
UGAGGAAUAUUGGUCAAUGGACGCAAGUCUGAACCAGCCAAGUAGCGUGCAGGAUGACGGCCUUAUGGGUUGUAAACUGCUUUUAUAUGGGGAUAAAGUGGGGAACGUGUUCCCUUUUGCAGGUACCAUAUGAAUAAGGACCGGCUAAUUCCGUGCCAGCAGCCGCGGUAAUACGGAAGGUUCGGGCGUUAUCCGGAUUUAUUGGGUUUAAAGGGAGCGUAGGCCGUUUGGUAAGCGUGUUGUGAAAUGUAGGAGCUCAACUUCUAGAUUGCAGCGCGAACUGUCAGACUUGAGUGCGCACAACGUAGGCGGAAUUCAUGGUGUAGCGGUGAAAUGCUUAGAUAUCAUGAAGAACUCCGAUUGCGAAGGCAGCUUACGGGGGCGCAACUGACGCUGAAGCUCGAAGGUGCGGGUAUCAAACAGG